rnacentral:misc_RNA from 1 species
GAUGAAGAACGCAGCGAAAUGCGAUAAGUAAUGUGAAUUGCAGAAUUCAGUGAAUCAUCGAAUCUUUGAACGCACAUUGCGCCCGCCAGUAUUCUGGCGGGCAUGCCUGUUCGAGCGUCAUUACAACCCUCAGGCCCCCGGGCCUGGCGUUGGGGAUCGGCGGAGCCCCCCGUGGGCACACGCCGUCCCCCAAAUGCAGUGGCGGUCCCGCCGCAGCUUCCAUCGCGUAGUAGCUAACACCUCGCGACUGGAGAGCGGCGCGGCCACGCCGUAAAACACCCAACUCUUCUGAAGUUGACCUCGAAUCAGGUAGGAAUACCCGCUGAACUUAAGCAUAUCAAUAAGCGGAGGAA